rnacentral:rRNA from 1 species
AUUGAACGCUGGCGGCAUGCCUUACACAUGCAAGUCGAACGGUAACGGGCCUUCGGGUGCCGACGAGUGGCGAACGGGUGAGUAAUACAUCGGAACGUGCACGAUCGUGGGGGAUAACGAGGCGAAAGCUUUGCUAAUACCGCAUACGAUCUACGGAUGAAAGCAGGGGACCGCAAGGCCUUGCGCGGACGGAGCGGCCGAUGGCAGAUUAGGUAGUUGGUGGGAUAAAAGCUUACCAAGCCGACGAUCUGUAGCUGGUCUGAGAGGAUGAUCAGCCACACUGGGACUGAGACACGGCCCAGACUCCUACGGGAGGCAGCAGUGGGGAAUUUUGGACAAUGGGCGCAAGCCUGAUCCAGCCAUGCUGCGUGCAGGAUGAAGGCCUUCGGGUUGUAAACUGCUUUUGUACGGAACGAAAAGCCUUCUUUUAAUACAGGAGGGUCAUGACGGUACCGUAAGAAUAAGCACCGGCUAACUACGUG